CGAGUCAACUCGGUUUCAAACUGAGUCAGCAAGGAUACGAUUCUAAGGGUGUAAUUACUUAGCGACACUAGAAGGCGAUUCAAAGUAUAAGGUAGUACAGAUGGCUUAAGUGAUAUGCAUGUUCAGACUUGAUGAGGAGCAAGGUACAAUCGCCAGGGAUGCAUGACUGUAUUUGCUUGGAAGAGUUGCAUGAUCUUGUGACUUAUAUUUAUAUGCUUUCUGUUAUUCUUCAUGUAUUGAAUCAUGUCAAUCUUGUACUUGUUUAAAUUCUGAGACAUUGGUUUGUAUAAGUUAUU